rnacentral:rRNA from 1 species
CCUACGGGCGGCAGCAGUGAGGAAUAUUGGUCAAUGGACGCGAGCCUGAACCAGCCAAGUAGCGUGAAGGAUGACUGCCCUACGGGUUGUAAACUUCUUUUAUAAAGGAAUAAAGUGAGGCACGUGUGCCUUUUUGUAUGUAUUUUAUGAAUAAGGAUCGGCUAACUCCGUGCCAGCAGCCGCGGUAAUACGGAGGAUCCGAGCGUUAUCCGGAUUUAUUGGGUUUAAAGGGUGCGUAGGCGGUCUUUUAAGUCAGCGGUAAAAACCCGGGGCUAAACCCCGUCCUGCCGUUGAAACUGGUAGUCUUGAGUACAGUUGAGGUAGGCGGAAUUUGUGGUGUAGCGGUGAAAUGCUUAGAUAUCACGAAGAACACCGAUUGCGAUGGCAGCUUACCAAACUGUUACUGACAUUGAUGCUCGAAAGUGUGGGUAUCAAACAGGAUUAGAUACCCCAGUAGUC